rnacentral:rRNA from 1 species
CCUACGGGAGGCAGCAGUGAGGAAUAUUGGUCAAUGGGCGAGAGCCUGAACCAGCCAAGUCGCGUGAGGGAGUACUGCCCUAUGGGUUGUAAACCUCUUUUGUCGGGGAGCAAAAGCCGGACGUUUCCGGCUGUGAGAGUUCCCGAAGAAAAAGCAUCGGCUAACUCCGUGCCAGCAGCCGCGGUAAUACGGAGGAUGCGAGCGUUAUCCGGAUUUAUUGGGUUUUAAGGGUGCGCAGGCGGAUUUUUAAGUCAGCGGUAAAAUCGUGGGGCUCAACCCCAUCCAGCCGUUGAAACUGGGGAUCUAGAGUGUGCGAGAGGUAUGCGGAAUGCGUGGUGUAGCGGUGAAAUGCAUAGAUAUCACGCAGAACCCCGAUUGCGAAGGCAGCAUACCGGUGCACAACUGACGCUCAGGCACGAAAGCGUGGGUAUCGAACAGGAUUAGAUACCCGAGUAGUC